GUGAUUUUAGGUCACACUGUAGGCCACCUUUUGAAACUUAGAUUACAAACAGUGUCAGAAGUAUCUGAAUAUUUCCUAAUUAACCCUUUAUUUUAUUGUUUAAGAAUAAAUAGUAUUAUUAGAGGCAAUCACACAUAUUAAUUGUACCACAAAUUGGGUUUUGGUCUCAAAAAUCCCUAUUAUAUUCCAAAAUAAUAUAAUGCAUAGGUUGAUGUGUUGAUCUCUCUCUCUGUGUUGGGUGUUUUAGUGUUAAUAUGUUUGCUCUUGUGUGUCUGUGCAUGCUUGGGCAGCUGUGAAUGGCUGUUUAUCAAUCUCUCGUUUGAAGCGUUAUGAUGGAUGGACGAGGAGGCAGCAGUGAUUUCUGGCAUGCAUCUGUAUGUGUGUAAAUGUGUGCAUUGUGUGUAAACGUGGCUCCUGCUGUGUGUGUGGUGUGUACGUAUGUUCCCUGUGCAUUUGUGAAGAUUCAUAAUGCUGCUGAAUGAUCGGGGCUUUGAUGAACAUAUAAGAGCCAAGGAAUGUGUGCUGGUGUGUCCCGGCAUGUAAUGGAGAGCGAUAGAGAGAAGACGUCUGCCAUAAAGAGUCACAGAGUGCAUUAUGAAAAAUGUACUCUAUAUGGCAUAAUCCAAUCACUAAUAUCUGCCAUGUGUGUGUGUUUAGACGAUGGUUUGGACUCAGGGUUAUAACAUCUGAAACUCAUAAAAAUUUUCCUUUAACAAUUUCCACAAACAGAGCUGAACACAAUACAAAUUAUGAUAUAAGUGUUAUUGUUUUUAGACUGAAUUGAAUUGAAAUUAGUUUCAUUUACCUUAUUCCUGAGCAAGGCACUGAACCCCCAGUUGCUCCCCGGGUGCUGGAUAUAGCUGCCCACUGCUCGGGGUGUGUGUUCACGUGUGUUCACUUCUCACUCCUGUGUGUGUGCACUUGGAUGUGUUAAAUGCAGAGCACCAAUACCAUACUUGGCAAAUGUCACGACUUUCACUUUCACUUUUAAAUAAUAAUAAGAUGUUCAGAAUUCCUUUAGCAAUCAUAGAGAAAUGCAGUAUUAUCAAAGUAACAAGGGCAAGCAUCACUUGCAUUUUCUUCAGGCUUGUACAGGAGUGUGUGCCCCCAGCUGGCUCACGGACACCCUGCACAAAAGUAGCUGCAUUCUUCACAUUGCCGUAACCUGAGGUGGAGUGAGACAUCACUGCGCACAGCACGUGUAUCCUGGAGCUCUAUGAGUCUGAGAUUCUGUCAACACAUCAUUCUGUACUGUAAACCUGAGCUCAACUGUCAUAACACCGCUGGCACACUUACAGUCAACACAAAAUCAAAAUUCAUGCCAUUUACUUUCUCAGAACAUUCCGGGUUUUCCUGCACAUGAUUGAUUAGUCCAUGUUGUUCCAAAGAAAGAAAAUGUUAGUCUUUGUAAUCAUUCAUCA
ensembl:lncRNA